CUUCGAACACGUACACCCAAAAAACCCUUCAUCCAAAAAGACAGAGAGAGAGAGAGAGGUGAGCAAGCGAAACAGUGAGAGCUAGAGAAGUUCAGUGCUUCAAUGGCGUCAGGAGGAGGAGGGAGUGUAGAGUGGCACUUGAGACCACCAAACCCUAAAAUCCCAAUUGUUUUCUUCGAUGUUACAAUCGACACCAUCCCUGCUGGUCGUAUCAAAAUGGAGCUCUUCGCUGAUAUUGCCCCGAAAACCGCCGAAAAUUUCUGGCAGUUUUGUAAAGGCGAGUACAAAAAAGCUGGAUUACCUAAAGUAUGUCAAUUUCAUUUUAUAGAGUGAUUAAGGAUUUUAUGGUUCAAGCUGGUGAUUUUCUCAAGAUUAAUGUUGGUGUUUGGGCCAGCUUGCAUGUAUUACGACUAAUCAUACAGACCCUGAAAUUAACGAUCAUGUAAGCCUCUAGAGACCAUCAUAUGAGCAAUCAAGAACUCGAACCUGAGA